rnacentral:rRNA from 1 species
AACCUGCUGAAGGAUCAUGUGCACACGUGUGUACACUAACCUGCUAAUGAUAUUGUGGGCGGUGUAAGCUUGCAUUACAAUAAUAUUACAUGUGCCCUGGGCUGUGUGACUUGUUUUGCAAACAUUCGUUAUGCAUUGCAUAAACAAGUUUGGUAAACUGAGUGGUGCUGUGUUUGUGUACGAUGAUUAGGUUUUGCAACGAAUGUUUUAGUUCAAUACAUGAUGAAUAAUGCAGGACAAUGCAGUAUGCAUUGUGAAUUGCAGAAUUCCGUGAGCUAACAUAUGUUUGAAUGUUACUUGCGCCUUUGGGAUAUUCUUGAAGGUUUGCUUGAUUCAAUGCCAAUUACCUUCCAUAUGCAAUACUGCUGUUUAGCAUUGCUGUGAACAAAGAGAGUCAAUGUGUAUUGCAUUGAACCUGGAUGUGUUGCAGCUGCUUUGCAACCUAAACAUGGUUGAUUGGGGGCAAACUUGUUUCGUCAUGUGCUGGUUGCUGUUUUGCAAAAUGUGCACAACUGAGACAAGCUGAAGACUUGCAUAUGCUUAGCAUGAAGUGAAGCACAUACACCUGCUGAAUUUAAGCAUAUAAGUAAGUGGUGGAAAUUAAACCAAAUGGGAUAUCUUUAGUAAUUGCGAAUGAACAAGGAUAUGCUUAGCUUGACAAAUGGAGCUAUUGGCUUUGAAUUGUAUUGUGGAAAUGUAUUACCAACAGAGGUGCAUGUGCCAGCCUAUUGAAAUAAAGCGUCAAUGAGGGUGAGAAUCCUGUUUGUCAUGUGCAGCCCUUUGUGCACGGUGUAUAUUUGCUGAGUCACACUCCUUGGCAUUGGAAUGCAAAGUGGGUGGUAAGUUUCAUGUACAGGUAAACAUGCAAUUGAGACUGAUAGCACACAAGUACCAUGAGGGAAAUAUGAAAAGGACUUUGAAAAGAGAAUUAAAUGAGUUUGUAUUUGCUGAACACAAAGUAAACAGACUUGAUUUGCUUGGUGGGAGUGUUGCACUUGCUUGACAAGAGCUUUGGGCUGUGGGUGUAAUGAUUCUUUCUUUGCAUGCCAGUUUCUAUGUGUACAUCUGAUUACCUUUGCACAUGAAUGAUAAGUCUCCUGUGGGGGGUGGAUUGCAUGUGCAUGUAAUGAUUUGUGUUUUGAUAAAUGUGUCUGGUGUAUGUGUGUGUGUUCCUGUGCUUGGGGAUGCUUCCUUCCUUGGACUUACAAGCCCUGACACACACAUGCUGGCAAAAUGCUUCUGCUUGACCCGUCUUGAAACACGGACCAAGGAGUCUAACAUAUGUGCAAAGUUUUGAAGGUGGUAUACCUGUGUGUGCAAUGAUAGUGUCAGCUGGGAUAUGUGCACCAGCACCCAUUUAAUGAGCGGACUGAGGUUUGAGUUGGAGCAUAUCUAUUAGGACC